rnacentral:rRNA from 5 species
AAAACGACUCUCGGCAACGGAUAUCUCGGCUCUCGCAUCGAUGAAGAACGUAGCGAAAUGCGAUACUUGGUGUGAAUUGCAGAAUCCCGUGAACCAUCGAGUUUUUGAACGCAAGUUGCGCCCAAAGCCAUUAGGCUAAGGGCACGUCUGCCUGGGCGUCACGCAUCACGUCGCCCC